rnacentral:rRNA from 1 species
ACACAUGCAAGUCGAGGGGAAACGAUAUUGGAAGCUUGCUUCCGAUAGGCGUCGACCGGCGCACGGGUGAGUAACGCGUAUCCAACCUGCCCACCACUUGGGGAUAACCUUGCGAAAGUAAGACUAAUACCCAAUGACGUCUCUAGAAGACAUCUGAAAGAGAUUAAAGAUUUAUCGGUGAUGGAUGGGGAUGCGUCUGAUUAGCUUGUUGGCGGGGUAACGGCCCACCAAGGCUACGAUCAGUAGGGGUUCUGAGAGGAAGGUCCCCCACAUUGGAACUGAGACACGGUCCAAACUCCUACGGGAGGCAGCAGUGAGGAAUAUUGGUCAAUGGACGAGAGUCUGAACCAGCCAAGUAGCGUGCAGGAUGACGGCCCUAUGGGUUGUAAACUGCUUUUAUAAGGGAAUAAAGUGAGUCUCGUGAGACUUUUUGCAUGUACCUUAUGAAUAAGGACCGGCUAAUUCCGUGCCAGCAGCCGCGGUAAUACGGAAGGUCCGGGCGUUAUCCGGAUUUAUUGGGUUUAAAGGGAGCGUAGGCCGGAGAUUAAGCGUGUUGUGAAAUGUAGACGCUCAACGUCUGCACUGCAGCGCGAACUGGUUUCCUUGAGUACGCACAAAGUGGGCGGAAUUCGUGGUGUAGCGGUGAAAUGCUUAGAUAUCACGAAGAACUCCGAUUGCGAAGGCAGCUCACUGGGGCGCAACUGACGCUGAAGCUCGAAAGUGCGGGUAUCGAACAGGAUUAGAUACCCUGGUAGUCCGCACGGUAAACGAUGGAUGCCCGCUGUUGGUCUGAAUAGGUCAGCGGCCAAGCGAAAGCAUUAAGCAUCCC